UCUCCUUCACCCCUCAUAUUGAAUCGUCCGGACAGGCCCGCAACUUUAGUAUUAAUUUUUCCAUUAUUUUCUAAUUUAAAACCUAUACUUGCAUGUUAAUUAUUAUUUUCGAAAUUAAAAAAGUUAAUUACAAAGUGCUUUCACGCCUCUCGCGCAAAUACUCACUGAAUAAAUUGCAUUGCUAAAUGAACAGUAAGGAUAUACAGCUGAGUAAAUCCUUGUCGUGGCUUUUACGACACGGAGCGGUAAAGGAAGGAUUCGACUUGAGUACAGCAGCAGCGACAUAAAGAGGGUCGUCCGAAAUAAUGAGAAACAGAGAUUUCACCUGAGAGUGAACCCGGACACCGGGGCGACAGAGAUCAAGGCUAACCAGGGACACAGCAUUGACAAAGUUACGGAUGUGGAGU